CCAUUUUCGCCUGUUUAAUUGUCGGGCUAGCCAGGGCUGCUCCCAGCUUACCUGGAAUCACUUUCAUUUAUAGUAUCCCCAUAGGUUGGCUUUAUUUUGGGUGCAUGCAGUGCUGUUGGCCGAGUUUUAAUCUAGCCUUGGGCGGGAGCACUAUUGAGUUCCUUUAAUACUGCAAUGAGACAAAAAAGGCAGAGAGCUGAAGCAGGGAGGCCUUCACGGCCUGCUCGGCCUGCACAUAUCUUUCAAGCCUAAGCCUGCUACAGUUAGCAGUACAGUGAAUUCCCAGCUUACCUGGAAUCACUUUCGUUUAUAGUAUCCUCAUAGGUUGGCUUUAUUUUGGGUGAUUGCAGUGCUGUUGGCCGAGUUUUAAUUUAGCCUUGGGCGGGAGCACUGUUUUGAGUUCCUUUAAUAUUGCAAUGAGACAAAAAAGGCAGAGAGCAGAAGCAGGGAGGCCUGCACGGCUUGCACGGCCUGCACAUAUCAUUCAAGCCUAAGCCUGCUACAGUUAGCAGUACAGUGAAUUGUUAAGUUUCUGUAACAUGUGACUCAUUCUCUCUAUAAGAAUGUAUCUGUUGUUUGCAGGCUCACUUGUUGCUAAUGUAUAGCUUAGGCAGACAGAGUGGAGCCAGAGGCUCUCUGUGCCUCCAAUGAGCACUCUUUGUAUGCUCUUUAACUAUGCUGUUUCUGAACAAGUUUAUUUUCUUCAAGUUUGUUUUUCCUGAUAGUGGCGACUGCCAUUUUAGAAACGAGCCAUUGUGGCUUAGUGGCUAGAGUACAGGACUAGGACCUGGGAGACAGGGUUCAUAUCCCUCACUUAGCCAUUGUUAUAACAAGGCAAAACAAGCUGCUCCUUUUGGACUAUUUUGUUGCUGGGUAGUUUGGCCCAUUUGUGAUAUUGCUCCCAAAAAGAACUUUGGGUUUCUUGAGGAGGUGCUUCCCUCUAAAGGGCAAGCAGGGGUACCUGGACAUGCGGUGGGCUGCCUCGAGUUUGUUAUCUCAUUGGAAACAUUUAUGUCUGGCCUAGCAGGUGAUCCUAGGGCUUGGCCCGCUUGGCCCUAGAAUUUGAUGGCCUCUGGCAGCGUUUCUGGCCUGAAUAGCGUCCCCAUGUGGUGCACAAAGCAUUGGUUUCACCUGUUCCUCACAUUGUUUAGGUUUUUUCUUUUCGCAGAGGCCUUUGCAGAUGCCUCCAGAGCUUGCCUCUCCUGCAGAGGAUGACUUGUUGAUGCCCCAGGUGCCUUCUUCAGGAAGGAGGCGUCUUCAGAGGCAGGAAAAAGCAUAGCAGGGAUGAUGCUUACACCUCCUUGCAGGUAAAUCAUCACUGGGCUCUGAUGAUGAUUCAGACAUCACCUUGGACCUCUCCAGGGGUCAGGGUGAGGCUGUUCCUGUUGAUUUAAGCAGAGUCUGUCGUGCCCAGCGGAAGGAUGAGCAAUACGUGCUACAUACUCUAUAUUGCUUUAUUUACAGUUCAAAGCUGGUAUAUUACAGAAAGACAUCUUGCCUCUGCAAGAGCAGAAAAUGCAUCCUCUCUCCUCGACAGCUUGGAGAGAAUCACACAGUGAAAAACAGGAAACCAGUGUACGUCACAUCCAGUCUCCCUUUCCCGUGAGAAACUCCAACAGUACAGACUGUGGAAUGUAAACACCUGUCUCGUGACAAGCAGAGCUGCACAGUGAAGGAAAGCAGAAACCAACAUCCUCCCCUUUCUGUGAACAUCACUGGGCAGCGUGUUUGCACAAUAUCAGUACAAACCCAACUUCUGCACAUAGGUACAGUGUUGAUCCCUCGAUACAAUCUUGGACAAUACAUCAGCAGGAAUUUCAUUACCUGGCAUAUAGGACACCGUUACGAGUCCCUUCUGAAUACAUUCCCUAGCAUGCUGCAACUUUAAUUGCAAGUGCUUUGUGCUUUGCUUACAACCUUCAGACUUCAGCAAAGCCAAACAUGCUUUGUUGUCCUGGUAAACCUGGAUUGGACAUUUGACAGAAAUUUUCAUAUCUUUGCACAAUUGUACUAACCAUUCACAAUCCUUAAGUGAAUAAGACAGUGCAUUCAGUUCGGCUUCACAAGUACUUAAGCUAACUGUUGUUUGCUUCUUGCAUGACCAAUCAAACAGACUCUGAUUGUACAUGUAGCAAACUCCAGACGUACCUUUCCUGUCUGUAGCGUCACUUCCAAAACUUGCAUCUGCAAAUAUCUCAAGACCACCAGACUUCUGAUUGUUAAAUCUCAGUCUGUAAUGCAUAGUGCCUUUCAAAUACCGCGCUAUGCGUUUCAGAGCUUUCCAAUCCUUGACACUAGGAUUGUUGACUUGUCUGCUUAGCAAAUUACAGCUAACAGCAAUGUCUGGUCUUGAACAUCUGGCAAUGAAGUUUAGCUUGCCUAGCACACUCCUGUACAGUGUAGUGUCAGAAAAUGCUUCUUCAGUGUCAUCUACCUGAUAACCUGUUGUCAUCGGUGUGUCUACAGGGUUAGCAUCCAUCAGAUUUAGUUUGCUUAACACAUCAGCAAUUUUCCGUGACUGGUGUACUAGAAUGUUACCAUCUUGAUCUCUCUCUAUUUCCAGAGAUAGGUAGUUGUUUACCUCACCAAGAUCUUUCAUGUCAAAGUGCUCUUUCAGUUGAGCUAGGGCGUUAUUGUACAUUGCGACAUCUUUCCAAAAGAAUAAUAAAUCAUCAACAUAAAACAAACAGUACAGUUUCUUUUGCCCCUCCUCUUUGACAAAUACACAUGGAUCAGCUUUCCCUUGCUGAAAACCUAGAGAAAACAAUACUUCAGUGAGUUUUGUGUGCCAACACCGUGCACUUUGUUUGAGACCAUAAAGGGAUUUCUUCAGAGCACAAACAAAUCCCUGUUUUACCUGUACGCCAUCAGGUGGAAGCAUAUAAAGUGAUUCAUCUAGAGAUCCGUACAGAAAAGCUGUAUUAAUAUCAUGGUGACUAAUGUGUAGAUUUUCCUCUGCAGCUAGCUUGAGCAUAAGCCUAAUGCUUUCAUAUCUCACUGUGGGUGAAUAGGUCUCGUGAUAGUCUUCACCUGGUACCUGUGCAAAACCUCUGGCUACCAAUCUGGCUUUGUGUCUGACUAUCUUGCCAUUUUGAUCUGUCUUCGCUUUGAAGACCCAUUUGCUUCCAAGCAGUUUCAUUCCUGGAACUACUGGAACUAGUUCCCAUGUUUUGUUCCUUUCUAAGGAAUCAAGCUCAGCCUUCAUGGCAUUUAACCAUGGCUCAGCUUCCUUUGAAUCCAAACCCUGGAUUUCUUGGAAACUUGAAGGUUCAAAUACCUUCUUGGAGCUUUUAACAGCUGUUACUGCUAUCGUAGCAAACUCAUCAGCAAAUCUCUUUGGAGGUUUGCCUUUUGUGGCUCUCUGUGACCUACGAAUUAGCCUUAAGUCUUCAACACUCUCCUCUUCCUUCUUAGGAGAAAAACGACCUAUUGUGAACAAUGGUUCCUCCAAUUCUUGAUCAGAGCUUUCAGAGGGUCGCAUAGAGGCUUUCGCACUCUUGAAAUCCUCUGAAUCACCCGAUUCAGUUUCAGAUUCAGACUCAGAACCUUCAUCAGUGGGUGUGGGCUGUUGUGGUUGCUUUUGACUAUCCUCAGUCUCAUCACCGUCAUCAGGAUAACAUUGGAAAAUUCCCACAUUCUCCCCCACUUUGCAUUGUACUCAACACUUCUCGUGAGCUUAAUUGUCUUAGAGUCAGUCAUCAUUAUUCUGUAAGACCCUUUCUGAUAACCUAGAAAGAUACCAUGCAAUCCACGCUUGUCUAACUUGGAGUUUUGUGGUGAGCAAACCCACAUGUCAGAACCAAAAAUCUUCAUGUGUUUGAUGUAUGGCUUCUUGCCAAACAUCUUCUCAUAGAAGUACAACCAAUCGCUGAAGAUAGCCUGCGAUUGUAACUGUAAACAAAACACGAGAGAGAUUCGGCCCAAUAACUCUCUGGAAGAUUGGCAUCAUGCAGCAAGGUCUUUAACCCUUGAAGCAAUGUCUGAUUUGCCCGUUCCGCAAGUCCAUUCUGCCAUGGCGAGCGAGGACUAGACAAAUCGUGUUGAAUUCCUUUCUCAGUCAGAAAAGCUUCAAACUGCUGAGAAGUGAAUUCCCCCGCGAUCACUGAAAAGAGUCUUUAUCUUCUUACCAUGCACAUUUUCCAACCAAGCACAGAAUUCCUUGAACCUAGGAAAAGCCUCCGAUUUCUGCUUGAGAUUGUACACAAAAAUAUAUCUAGAAAAUGCAUCAAUGAGAACCAUGAAGUAUCUAUUUCCACCCAAAGAGGGCGCUAGUGGACCAACCAAAUCAGCAUGAACAACCUGGUAUGGUUCUGUAGCUUUCCUACUAGACACCUUACCUUUCGCAGCCAUUUUCACUUUGUUUGCUGCGCAUGCUUUGCACUUCAUGUGGUACCUGCAGGGUUUAAUAGUCAUACCUUCAACCAAGGCAGGCAUUUUAGAUACUGCCUCAAAAUGCAAAUGACCAAAUUUUCGAUGAAAAUCGUGAAUACAUUCUGCAUGCAAACUUUUGUUAGAACCUGCAAUGCAACAAGUGUCAUCCUGCACCACAUCAUCAUAAUACAAAACAAACAAAUGAUCAACAUAUUCUGCAUGCAAUACAUAAUCAUUUUUCUUUGUGAUGAUGCACUUCUUGUUCUUGAAGGAUACGUCAAUGUUCCGCUCAUUCAGCUGUCCAACGCUGAGCAGAUUAUGUUUGGCGUCUGGCACGUAAAGCACAUUCUGUAUCGAUAAGUCCAAACUGUGAAGAACAACAGUUCCGUAGCCUUUACUGGGAAUAGUGUGGUCAUCCGCCUGGUGAAUCGCACCUUCCUGCGGUGUAAAAGACACAAACAGUUUCUUAUCGUUGCACAUGUGGUGGGUGGCCGCUGAAUCAACAACGAAGAAAGAUCUAGACGUCUUCUGGACCUCUGCAACCUUUGGAGUGAAGCGUGAAACCAUAGCCUUGUGCUGCGUUGUCCUUGACACCGGACCUUUGCCUUUGCCUCGGCCUUUUCCGCGCGAUGAGCUUUCGCUGCGCUGCUCUGUCUUGGCCCUGGGAUGUCUGCAUUCCCUCUUCAUAUGGCCUAGACGUCCACAUGAGUAGCAUUUCACUGCCUUCAAAGCUUUGGCGCCAUCUGGUGGUUCCACUGCACUAUGGGAUGACGUCUGUGAAGACUCCCCUUUGCCCAUGCAGCUAGCACCCGGCGAUCUGCUUCAUUUAAAAUCACGGCAGUAACAAAGUCCACUGUCAGCUGAGCAGUUGGUUGCACAGCAAUCUGGGUUGCAACAGACUCCCAACCUGAACCCAAAGAUUGUAGUAUCAUGAAAGAAUACACAGCCUCUGGAAAGUUGAGUCCUCUCUGUUGCAGCUCAUGUCUCAGAUUUUGCAUCUGCAUCAGAUGUAAACGUACAUCUCCACCUUCAGCAAGAGCCAUAUUAUGCAGCUUGUUAAAAUAAAACAUAGUGGAUCCAGCUUCUGUCCUUAAGUGAGCCUCUCUCAGAGCGUCCCAAAUUUCUCUGGCUGAGGUCUUAUCACGCAAUAGACAGAGCUCUUCUAAGGAUACUAUCAAUGUAAGAGUUCCCCUUGCUUUGGAAUCCUUAGCUUUCCAUGCAUCUGUAACUGGAACUGGGGGGGUUCCUGUAAUCACCUCAAACAAACCCUCUUUCCGCAGAAUUGCCUCUGCAUACUGAACCCAGUCGCUGUAAUUAUUCUUGUUGAGCUUAGGAAUCCCACAAGCAUCCUGAAGGGCCAUCAUGACUCUGGCAUUAGCCUUCAGCGUCAUAUCUAUGCUGCUUUAAAUCUUGCUGCGUCACUGCUGCAGCUGCCUCAUUACAAAGGCACACUUAAAAGUUACUUUCGAUUUCCCCAGCAUAGUGACUUGUGCCUGGGAGCCUUUUGCCUAUUCCCGGCAAAACCGGCUUUAAAAGUUCAAAGUCCAGCCAUAAAGCCAUUAACUUGAAGCUGGCAGGCUGCCCGGAGCAGUAGCACAUACCUCAUCAAUCACUUCUACGCGCAGAGCAGAUUCCGUUCCGAUCCGUCCCUCUGCAUUCCGAUCCUCUUGCCGGCACUCCGAUUCGACCUCUGGAGUCCAUAACCACGUGUUGAUUUAAGCAGAGUCUGUCGUGCCCAGCGGAAGGAUGAGCAAUACGUGCUACAUACUCUAUAUUGCUUUAUUUACAGUUCAAAGCUGGUAUAUUACAGAAAGACAUCUUGCCUCUGCAAGAGCAGAAAAUGCAUCCUCUCUCCUCGACAGCUUGGAGAGAAUCACAGAGUGAAAAACAGGAAACCAGUGUACGUCACAUCCAGUCUCCCUUUCCCGUGAGAAACUCCAACAGUACAGACUGUGGAAUGUAAACACCUGUCUCGUGACAUGCAAAGCUGCACAGUGAAGGAAAGCAGAAACCAACAGUUCCAGGUCUUUAGGGAGCAUCCUGGAUAGCUCAGCUGGUCAGCGUAUGGUGCCGGUAAUGCCUAGGUUGCAGGAUUGGUCCCUGUAUGGGACAGCUGCAUGCUCCCUCAUCACUUUACCCGGACACUGAGGUCCAGUGCCGAGGGCCUUUCUGGUGGUUCCCUCACUGUGAGAAGCCAAGUUACAGGGAACCAGGUGGAGGGCUUUCUCGGAAGUGGCACCUGCCCUGUGGUACACCCUCCCACCAGAUGUCUACUACCAGACUUUUAGAAGACAUCUAAGGCAGCCCUGUUUAGGGAAGCUUUUAAUGUUUGAUGCAUUACUGUAUUUUAAUAUUUUGUUGGAAGCUGCCCAGAGUGGCUGGGGAGCCCAGCCAGAUGGGCGGGGUACAAAUAGAUGAUGAUGAUGAUGAUGAUGAUGAUGAUAUUGUGGGAGAGUGGACUAGAUGAUCCUAGGAGUCCCUUCCAACCCCACUAUUCUAUAAGUGGUAAUUCACUAUGAUGGGAAUGUUAGACGCAGGGCUGCCAUCAUCCCCUUAGCUCGCUAGGAUCGCAGGGACGGGGACAUGUGGACCACUUGCGCAGCUCCACAUUUCAAAUGGAAAUUCCCUGAGCAAUAGAACCUGAAGCUGGUAUGCAGGAAGCUGGCCCGGUGGCAGCUUUGUUGGGACUUCUUUAGGGUCUCUGGCCAGUGUUGGCCCUGUAAAUUUACACAUCAUGGUGGCAACACAAGGCAGGGCUUCUUGCCCAAGCGGGGCUGGCAAGCAAUAACUCAAUACCUCUCGCCCAUAUUUCCAUAAAAAUAUCUCCCUUUAAAGCCUGGCUAAAAGGUUAUCUAGAUGCGUCAGUCGCGUUGUGCGUGUGGGACGGGUUUGUCUCCAAGGUUUUGGGAUUCCUCUGGCUUUUCAGCCAGUGGCUCAGAAUACAGCAACUCAAAAGUCAGUUAGAGUCUGUGGUAGCCAGAAAGUCUGUGGUAGCCAGAAAGAAGGUUAGGAAGCAGCUUGCAUUGGGACGUAUGGUGGGAUCCCCUUGAUUCUCCUUCUAGUCCCGAUUUUCAUUUAUCCCCAUUGGGGAUCGUCCCUAAUUCCCCCAUAUAAUUCCAUCUGAUCCAUAUUUAUCGCACCCCAAAGGCACCUCAGUGAAUGAUGCUAUCCCUCCGGAAUUGUUCCGUGAAAUAUGCAUCUUUGGAUCAGGCAGUUGAGCUUACCAACAAAUUGGAGGAGGUGCCUUGUUGGCAUUAUGCGAUAUUGAAUCGGCUGUUAGGCUGCUGCCGGUUCACCCUCAAGAUUUUAAGUAGUUAGGCUUUAAUUGGAUGGUCCUUAUAUGGAUAAGGCGAUGCCAGUUGGUUGCUCAAUAGGCUGUGCAGCACUUGAGUCCUUUAGCGCCUUUCUGGAUUGAACAUUGCGAGUCAAGACUCUUUUAACUGGGGGUAUCGUUAUGUGGAUUAUUUUACUGGCUGGUUCAUGUGACACCAGCCUCUGCUUAGCUUACUAGAUGCCCCUUUAUUCCCUGAGGAGCUGGGUGUUCUGUUGGCAGUGGAGGACAGUGGCUCCUACUGCCCCUUUUAAUGUAUUUGGGGGCUAGCUGGAUACCGUUGCUCAAACAUCUGCUUGCCUGUGGAAAAGCUGUUUGCCUUGAAGGAUGUUAUUCUUGUAAUACUUCCUCUGAGGCAAGUGUUGCUUUGUCAGAUCCUAUCAUUCCUAGGUCAGUUAAAUUUUGCAUGCAGGGUGGUUGCUCCAGGCUGCCCCUUCCAUUCCUGCUUGGCCAGGUGGUCUCAUGGCCCGGUGUCCCUUCAUCAUCAUGUACAGUGGCCUUGAGCCUGGCAGGGCAAGGCAAUCACAUGUAACCUAACUUUCUUGAGUUUUCCUCAUUGUAGUGUCAGCGCACAUCUGGACUGAGGAGUUUAGGGACCGUCAGGUCUGUCUUGGUCUGAUAACCAGGCAGUGUGAGAGUCCUGGCAAAACGGUCUUCAUGCUCUGGCAGAGUCUUCGCACUGCUUAAGGUUUAAUAUUGCGUUUCUGCUCACUUUAUUUCGGGAUCAUCUAAUGUUUUUGCUGUGGCUCUAUCCCGUUUUUUCAGUUGGAGAGCUUCAGAUCCUGGGCUCUGGACACCCAGCUAUUUUUCUGGAGCUCCUGUGGCACUUGGCGACAAUUAAUAAUUAUGAGGAAUAGUAGCUUACGUUUCCCCAUCCGCUUUCAGGUCUUAUGAGAAGGCCUGGACUGAUUUCUUAAAAUUUAGCUGGUAGUCCUCGGCCAUUCAGAGGAACCUGCCCCCAUCCUCUGAGCAGGACCUGCAGUAAUUCGCCCACCUGCUGCAGAUAGGAUGCAGUGUUAAAACUAUCAGAAUUCAGUCCGCUGCAAUGUCUGCUAGAGUAAAGCUUUAAUUUUCAGAGACCCUUCUAAAAGUGUGUCAUGCGCAGGGUCUCGGAAGGUUGGAAUAGGCUCUGACCUUCACAGGACAGCAGGCAGGAAGCCGGUCAAUCUUUGACCUAUGCAGUAUCUGCAACAAGUUGAGACUUGUUGGCUGGUUCAAGAUCAAGACGAGACUUAUUUCAGUAUUCCAUUGUAAUUUUGGUGUACUGAGGGUUGGGGAAAUUGUGUUGGAGCCAGCACGGGGCUGAGAGUUUGGAGGCUUAUUGCCACAGGACUUUUCCUUAUCUGCUUUGGAGCUUGUCAUAAGUGUCUGGAGCUCUAAGUCAGACCUAGUGAGCAGGGUUGCCACCAUCAGGCUUCCAGUCACAGGUGAGGUGGGCCCUUGCCCUGUUAUUGGAUACCGGAAAUAUUUGGCUUUUCGUUCCCCUGGGGGCUGGCUCAAUCCUAGUGCACAGAAAUGGGUUCCGGUUCGACAGGCAUCUAAUUGCUCACGUCGUGCGCCAGUUAUUGCAGCCUGCGGCUUGCCUACCGCUGAACACGCCUCAUUCCUUCCAAAUAGGUGCUGCUGCAAAGGCUGCGCAUUGGGGCCUGUUAGUAGACAGGAUUGUGAAUACGGGUCAUUGGAAGUCUGACGCUGACAAAGGUUAUGUCAGGAAGCAUCGCCAAUGAUGCCUGUGCUGAUGCCUGUCUGUUAUUCCUUUUUCAUAGGAGCAGCUGUGCGCAUUUGGAUUGUCGGCCACAGCAUCAUGCACUGAGCUGGCAAGCACCCUGACGAGUCUGGACUGGGGGCGCCAUCUCGGCCUUCCUGCCCAUGUUUCUAGCUCCAGUCCGCAUCUGGAUUGUGGGGCACAGCAUCGUUUACUGGGCUGGCAUCAGAGCUAGGCAGUCUGGAAGGGGACUGGGUCUUGGCCUCCCGCAGCAUGUGCAGGUGUUGUGGAUGUCCAGGCGCAGAAUGCAGUGGAGCGAAUUCAUCCCGCUAAUUAAGCAGAGGGUGCUUCGGAUGGCCCCCAUGGCAAUUGUGGUUCAGCUGGGGGAACGAUGUGGCAACUUAUGAUUGCUUUACUUUGCGCUCCACGAUUCAGAGAGACUUGGGUGAAUUGGUGACCUUAAUACCCACAGUUAAAAUAUUUUGGUCACAAUUGCUGCAAAGGCGCAAUUGGCACGGCAUUUCUCGACCUGAGGCUGCUGAAAGGGCCAGGAAGCGCAUUAAUUCUGCAGUGUGUAAGAAGGUGGCGGAUUUGGGUGGAUUGGUUAUUUCCCGCCCGGAUAUUACCUUCAAGGCUCUGGCCCUUUACCGCAAUGAUGGAGUACAUCUCUCUGUACUGGGGAAUGAUGUUUGGUUGGAUGCGGUAACUGCAAGGUUGAAGGUUGGGUUGGGAUUGUGAGUGGUUGGCGGCGAGCGUAAAGGGCUCGAUUGGCGGUUAGGCAUUGGUUAUAAAUUGGUGGAGGAGGGGUUAGGAUAGGCUGGGCCUGCCCCUCCAUGGUUGCUGCGGAAAGGGAAUUCCGUUAAAGGAAUCCUGGGGCUUGCCAUCUUUUCGUCCAAUCCCUGGAAUGGGACUAGGGCCGGCAAGCCUUCGGGAGCAUGCGGAUGAGAAUUGAGGGUCUGUGGCCCAGCUCCAUUUUUCUCCGACUUGCUUUCCCCCGCACUGUCUUUCGGUGGUGCCCGGAAGUCAGUUCUGUCCCCAGGCGGGGGACAGAUAGUCUUAACCAAUGCCUAAACAACCACUCACGGUUUUGUAUUUAAAUAAAGUUGUGGCCAAAAUUAUGCCAAAAACCUUAAACAAAAAUUAAGUGUGCGUUGUGAGUUAUUUGGGGGGUGGCUUGGGGACCUCGACACGCAAAGCGUGUUCUCCUUCAUGGAGAGCACGUGUUGCGGUGGGGUCUGCUGAGCCACCCCUCUGUUACCAGGCAGGGUCUCUAAAGAUGGCCUGGGGCAGUGAUUGGUUCACUGGGUUGCUGGGGUAAAAGUUAUGUUGCAAUUUUGGUGGGAGGGUAAAAUGUUUAAAUACUCUGCACGCAGCCUGGAGCUUUCUCUUUGCUGCGUGCAACGGAUCACCCGCCCACCCGCCCUUGAGUAAGGGGUUGUUGCAUUGACCUUGCUAUGCCUGUCAUGGGGUCGUCUGCCGUUGGGGCAGGGGCCUGGUAGGAAUUUUGUCCAUCUGGCUGAUUGGCUGGGCCAUUUGGUUUUUGCCUACUGCGUAGCAAAUCGUCACAACUUGUAAGGUUGUGGUUAGGCAUUGGUUAUAAAUUGGUGGAGGAGGGGUUAGGAUAGGCUGGGCCUGCCCCUCCAUGGUUGCUGCGGAAAGGGAAUUCCGUUAAAGGAAUCCUGGGGCUUGCCAUCUUUUCGUCCAAUCCCUGGAAUGGGACUAGGGCCGGCAAGCCUUCGGGGAGCAUGCGGAUGAGAAUUGAGGGUCUGUGGCCCAGCUCCAUUUUCUCCGACUUGCUUUCCCCCGCACUGUCUUUCGGUGGUGCCCGGAAGUCAGUUCUGUCCCCCGGCGGGGGGACAGAUAGUCGUACCCAAUGCCUAAACAACCACUCACGGUUUUGUAUUUAAAUAAAGUUGUGGCCAAAAUUAUGCCAAAAACCUUAAACAAAAAUUAAGUGUGCGUUGUGAGUUAUUUGGGGGGUGGCUUGGGGACCUCGACACGCAA